UGGGGAAUUUUGGACAAUGGGCGAAAGCCUGAUCCAGCAAUGCCGCGUGAGUGAAGAAGGCCUUCGGGUUGUAAACCGCUUUUGUCAGGGAAGAAACGAGUUUCUCUAAUACAGAGACUUAAUGACGGUACCUGAAGAAUAAGCACCGGCUAACUACGUGCCAGCAGCCGCGGUAAUACGUAGGGUGCAAGCGUUAAUCGGAAUUACUGGGCGUAAAGCGUGCGCAGGCGGUUAUGCAAGACAGAUGUGAAAUCCCCGGGCUCAACCUGGGAACUGCAUUUGUGACUGCAUAGCUGGAGUGCGGCAGAGGGGGAUGGAAUUCCGCGUGUAGCAGUGAAAUGCGUAGAUAUGCGGAGGAACACCGAUGGCGAAGGCAAUCCCCUGGGCCUGCACUGACGCUCAUGCACGAAAGCGUGGGGAGCAAACA
rnacentral:rRNA from 1 species